rnacentral:rRNA from 1 species
UACGUAGGGUGCAAGCGUUGUCCGGAAUUAUUGGGCGUAAAGAGCUUGUAGGCGGUUUGUCGCGUCUGCUGUGAAAUUUCGGGGCUCAACCCCGAACUUGCAGUGGGUACGGGCAGACUAGAGUGUGGUAGGGGAGACUGGAAUUCCUGGUGUAGCGGUGAAAUGCGCAGAUAUCAGGAGGAACACCGAUGGCGAAGGCAGGUCUCUGGGCCAUAACUGACGCUGAGACGCGAAAGCUAGGGGAGCGAACAGG